GCGUAAGCGCGCGCAGGUGGUUUCUUAAGUCUGAUGUGAAAGCCCACGGCUCAACCGGGGAGGGGCAUUGGAAACUGGGAGACUUGAGUGCAGAAGAAGAAAGUGGAAUUCCCUGUGUAGCGGUGAAAUGCGUAGAGAUAUGGAGGAACACCCCUGGCGAAGGCGACUUUCUGGUCUGUAACUGACACUGAGGCGCGAAAGCGUGGGGAGCAAACAGGAUUAUAUACCCUGGUAGUCCACCCCCUAAACGAUGAAUGCUAAUUGUUAGAGGGUUUC
rnacentral:rRNA from 1 species